rnacentral:rRNA from 1 species
UACGAGGGGAGCAAGCGUUGUUCGGAUUUACUGGGCGUAAAGGGCGCGUAGGCGACCACGACAAGUCACUUGUGAAAUCUCCGGGCUUAACCCGGAAAGGUCAAGUGAUACUGUCGGGCUAGAGUGCAGAAGGGGCAACUGGAAUUCUCGGUGUAGCGGUGAAAUGCGUAGAUAUCGAGAGGAACACCUGCGGCGAAGGCGGGUUGCUGGGCUGACACUGACGCUGAGGCGCGAAAGCCAGGGGAGCAAACAGG